ACGAGGACAGCCCAGUUGGUUAAGGCGCGUGUUUGAGAACCUCUGGUCGCGGGUUCGAAUCCGAUUCCAUGCA
rnacentral:tRNA from 1 species